AUUCCAUGAUGAGGGAAUUUUCGUAAUAAUUAUUUAAAUAUCUCCUAUAACUCAUAUAAGGAUUCAUCAUCCAUUUUCUAGAAGGUAGUGAUCUCGGUUCGUAACU
rfam:Gossypium hirsutum cultivar TM-1 scaffold4660.1_1, whole genome shotgun sequence